UUAUUUAUCUUUCAUUUAGUCUUUCAAUUCCUCAAUAUGUUUAUCUUUCAAACGUCGAGUUCGUGAAUGCAGAGCCUGAACUUACACUAGAUAUUUUGGAUGAGGAUAGCCAUCUAGCUAUUGAAUAUACACCUGAUGAUGCCGAAGGUGAAAGCUUAUCAUCUUCUCAGUCUAUACACAGUGAUUCUACACAGAUGUUAUUUGAGAAUGCUGCUGAUGACACUAUUACAGAGUUAGCUAACCCACCUUCCUCUUUCUCUGAUUAGACUUGGGAGAUCAUAGAUGAUGUGCCAGAAAGCUCCUCACCAAGUAUUACUGCCCACUUAGGUGACUAAUAUUCAUCAGGAUCAUCAGAUGAGAUCCACCUUUUAGGUUCAGAGCUGGCUUGCUUUGUGUCUAGGAUACCUUCUCGAGCUCGUAGAUAUUUUGGUCAGCAACUAUUGAGUAGAGCACAUCACAUUGUCACUGCUGUGCGGCACCUACUACUAGAAGUGGAUCUUGAUGAUUUGUCGUUUCCAAAUUUAGCCAAUUUUUGUGUUGAAGGGUCCCUACUUUUAGACUGUGCUGCAACUUCUGGACUUCGGGAGACCGCUUUAGAGACAUGGGAGUACCUUUGUCGUGUUGUUGCUUUCGGGCUAUACACAUUACACUUUGUCCCUGAGGAGUUAGCAGUUGGAGUUCCUGACGAUUUAGAGGAUGCAGUGAGAGCUACUUUAGAAAGGAUGAAGAGGAUUAGUAUGGAUCGUAACUUUGGCCUUCAGGCUUUGAGGCAUUGCCAAUGAGACAUUUCAGUGGAGCAGCUUGAGCUUUUAGAGAUAUUAGCAUAGCUUAAGGCUUUAAGGCAACGAGGGAUGGCUCUUUUGGAGAGGCGAUGAGAUCUUCGAGCAGCAGCUACUUAUACUGAGGAGGAAUUUACUUGGAUAGCUACUGAGGUUGAGAGACUAGAGCAGGAUUUAUCAUCAUCCACCAAGGAGUUUGACUUCGUUGCAUCAUCAGUUGGAGACCACUCAGACUAGGCAGAUGAUGAUACAGGAUCGCAUGUUCAGAAUUAGACAGCAAAUAGGAAGCCUUCAGUUCAGCCUUCUAUAGCUUCUCUGGCUUCACUCUGGAGCUCGUAUAGAAGAGACUUUGGGGAGCUCGGAGAUUAGGUUGUUCUGUUGGAGAGUUUCGGUUAUGAUUGUAGGGAGUUUUGUAUAGGAAUUUGUGGAGUUUUGUUUGAGUUGCUAUUGAGAUUUGAGUGAGUAGUUUUUUUUUUAGUUGAAUUAUUUUGUUUGAAGAUUUAUUUAUAUUGUUGAGUUGUUGUGUGUUGAUCAGUUUGAACAUAGGUUGAAUGAUGGAAACGCUAA